rnacentral:rRNA from 1 species
CAUGUCUUUUUGAUUAUAAUUUAAAGUCUAGCCUGCCCUAUGAAUAUUUAAAUGGCCGCAGUAUUUUGACUGUGCAAAGGUAGCAUAAUAAUUAGUUUUUUAAUUGGGAACUGGUAUGAAUGGCUGGACGAGAAAAAUACUGUCUCAGUUUAAUUUUAAUUAGAAUUUUAUUUUUAAGUUAAAAAGCUUAAAUAAAUUUAAAAGACGAGAAGACCCUAUAGAGUUUUAUAUUAUUUUUUAUUUUUAAAAGUUUAAGUAUUAUUAAUUUAAUUUUAAAAAUUAAUAUUUGAUUGGGGUGAUUUAAAAAUUUAAUAAACUUUUUAUAUAUAUAUACAUUGAUAUAUGAGUAGAUGAUCCAUAUUUUAUGAUUAAAAGAUUAAAUUACCUUAGGGAUAACAGCGUAAUUUUUUUUGAGAGUUCUUAUCGAAAGAAAAGUUUGCGACC